rnacentral:rRNA from 1 species
CUACGGGAGGCACCAGGGGGGAAACUUCUGCAAUGCGCGAAAGCGUGACAGAGCAAGCCAGAGUGCUUUCCUAUAUUUGGAAAGCUUUUGUGAGAUGUAAAAAGUCUCACGAAUAAGGACUGGGCAAGACUGGUGCCAGCCGCCGCGGUAAUCCCAGCAGUCCAAGUCGCAAUCACAUUUAUUGGGUCUAAAACAUCCGUAGCUUGCUAUGUCAGUCUCUUGUGAAAUCCCACCUCUCAAGGGUGGAAGUGCAAGAGAUACUGCAUAGCUUGAGACCGUGAGACGUAAGGAGUACGAUCAGAGUAGCGGUUAAAUGCGUUGAUCCUUUUCGGACUAACAACAGCGAAGGCACCUUACGAGAACGGAUCUGACAGUAAGGGAUGAAGGCUAGGGGCGCAAAACGGAUUAGAUACCCCUGUAGUC